AUGACACAAGCCCGACCAUAUUUGGCAGCUGAGUUUCUUAAAGGCUUAGAGCUGAAAUUUGAAAUGAUAGAGAGCAAAGGGAGAAGAAGAAGAAAAAAAAAGACGGAAACUGGAAUGUUCAUUGGUUGCAGCUGGGCAUCGCCGGAGCAAUAUGGAACUGGGCUUGAUGCAGGAAGUGUGUGUGUGUGUGUGUGUGUGUGUGUGCUUGCGUGUGUGUUUGUGUGUGUGUGUGUGCAUGGAUUCAUAUGUGCAUGCAUGUCCGCGUGUUUAUUCACACAUGCGUGUGAGAGACGAGGCACAAAGAUAUUUGGUUUUAAUACAGACCAAAGCUCAGCUAUUUCAGAUACGCGUGUGUGCGUGUGUGUGUGUGAGUGACAGAGAUAUUAGAGCAAUAUGAAAAAGAUUUAAGCCGGAAGUACGGGGCUGAGGUUGGAAAAACCUGUGUGGAGAGUUUUGGCCGAGCAGAACAGAGAAGCAGAGACGACCCGAACAGAGAAAAAAGGAGUCACUGAAAACUCAAUUUUAAAAUCGUAAACACUGCAACAACAGAAAAAAAAAAAUACCAUUGAAUUCUGAGAAAUGCAAUACUUGUGUUUUUAAUUAAUUAAUUAAAGUACUGAAGUUGUGCGAUUCCAAAAACUUCAUUGGAUUUGAAGCAUUAAAGAUUAAAAUUAAAACUUGAAAAUCGGUCUCAUGAUCAAAGAAAGACAAGUUCGGGGGAGUACGGUAGGCUACUCUUUUACAAUUUAGUGUUGAGCUCAAUUUUAGUAAUAAAGGUAAAAAUGACACGAUUAUAUCAUAUUGAAUACUUAAUAUAUAAUAGAGAACAAUAGAAAACAUAGAAGAAAUUGUGUAGGUCAUCAUUUUAUGUGCAAAAAAACCCCUUUCCGAAAAUAAACCUACUGAAAAUUAAACUAAUGCAAAGUGACUUUUUAAAUUGCUUCAUUUUAUAAACACCGAUCAAUACGUUUCCUGCAAAUACAUAAUUUUACGGGUGAAAUUCGUCAGUGUUGGUGGACUCUGACUUUACAUGUGUUUGACUUUCUCAGCAAGUGUUUCUCACGUGAAGAAAACGUGUGUGCGCGCGCUCGGUCCGUCGCUGUGCAGCAGAUUCACUGAGGGAAUGUUCUGCUGCUUUUCUCCUCUUAUAACAGCAUCGUCUGGUAGAAGUUGAAAUAUUACGACAAGUCUACAAUCCCUGACGCUCAAUCAACUGUGUGCUACGAAAGUGUCUCGUUCCUUUACAGCGAAAACCCCUUUUUUACACUUUGAAUAAUUUAGACCGGAAAGUUUAAUGAGCUCGGUUCAAAUUGAUAUGUGUGUGUGCACAUUGGAACCUAAUGUACAAUGAGACUCUGAAUAAU
rnacentral:lncRNA from 1 species